GCGGAUGUAGCCAAGUGGAUUA
rnacentral:tRNA from 1 species